UACGUAGGUGACCAGCGUUGUCCGGAUUUACUGGGCGUAAAGAGCGCGCAGGCGGUCGUUCAAGUCGAGUGUGAAAGCCCCCGGCUCAACUGGGGAGGGUCACUCGAUACUGAUCGACUUGAAGGCAGGAGAGGGAAGCGGAAUUCCCGGUGUAGUGGUGAAAUGCGUAGAUAUCGGGAGGAACACCAGUGGCGAAGGCGACUACCUGGCCUGUUCUUGACGCCGAGGCGCGAAAGCUAGGGGAGCAAACGGG
rnacentral:rRNA from 1 species